GUCCACGCCGUAAACGUUGGGCACUAGGUGUGGGUUCCAACCAACGGAAUCCGCGCCGUCGCUAACGCAUUGAGUGCCCCGCCUGGGGAGUACGGCCGCAAGGCUAAAACUCAAAGGAAUUGACGGGGGCCCGCACAAGCAGCGGAGCGUGUUGCUUAAUUCGAUGCAACGCGAAGAACCUUACCUGGGUUUGACAUGUAGGGAAAAGCUCUAGAGAUAGGGUGUCCUUCGGGGCCUUACACA
rnacentral:rRNA from 1 species